AUUCCAUGAUGAGGGCAUUUUCAUAAUAAAUCUCUGUAUCUUUCAUAUGCCUCAUACAAGAACUCAUCAUCCACUUGUUGGAAGGCAGUGAUCUCAUUCCUCAACUU
rfam:Gossypium arboreum cultivar AKA8401 contig_10387_9, whole genome shotgun sequence.